GCCGAAGUGGUGGAACUGGUAGACGCGCUGGCUUCAGGUGCCAGUGAGGAAUAUCCUCAUGGGGGUUCGAGUCCCCCCUUCGGCA
rnacentral:tRNA from 1 species